CGCCUUGCCAGCCCGCUCAGAAACUUAAAGGAAUUGACGGGGGCCCGCACAAGCGGUGGAGCAUGUGGUUUAAUUCGAUGAUACGCGAGGAACCUUACCUGGGCUCAAAUGUAUGUUGACGUAUUCUGAAAGGGAUACUUCUUCGGACAAUAUACAAGGUGCUGCAUGGUUGUCGUCAGCUCGUGCCGUGAGGUGUCGGGUUAAGUCCCAUAACGAGCGCAACCCCUAUCAUUAGUUGCCAUCAGGUCAAGCUGGGGACUCUAAUGAAACUGCCUACGCAAGUAGUGAGGAAGGUGGGGAUGACGUCAAAUCAGCACGGCCCUUACGUCCAGGGCUACACACGUGCUACAAUGGUCGGUACAAAGGGUUGCCAAGCCGCGAGGUGGAGCUAAUCCCAUAAAACCGAUCGUAGUCCGGAUCGCAGUCUGCAACUCGACUGCGUGAAGUCGGAAUCGCUAGUAAUCGUGAAUCAGAAUGUCACGGUGAAUACGUUCCCGGGCCUU
rnacentral:rRNA from 1 species